rfam:Felis catus isolate Cinnamon breed Abyssinian chromosome A1, whole genome shotgun sequence.
GCCUGGGUGGCUCAGUUCGUCAAGCGUCUGACUUCAGCUCAGGUCACGAUCUCACGGUUCACGGGUUCAAGCCCUGUGUCGGGCU